GGGCCCCAAUUCCAGCUCUACCAGCCCCAGCCCGCCGGUCUAAUCCCAGAGCCAUCGCCAUGGAAACCAUCAGAUAAGGCCCCAGUGGCAGAUGGCCACGGAGUCCCGAGCCCCACACCGCCUGUGGUCAGCAAAGCCUUCGCCUCCCAGCCAGUGAGACCCUGGUCUUGUCCUUGAAGGGUCAGUCUGGCCCUGCAAUCCUGUCAUCUUCCCGGUUGGCAGAUUCCAUGCCCUCGCCUUCUGUCCCCUGGCUCUCAGGUCUUCACUUUGGGGCAGAUGCUUGUCCACACCUGCAUCUUGCCCAGUAAAAGUCCCAGGAGAAGGUGGAGGAGCCGAGGGAGGAGAGUGGGCGUGGGGGACCUCCAGGCUAUGGCAGCAUCCAGUGCUGGGCAGUGGAAACUGUCCAUCAUGACCUGUCCUUGGCAACGGGGCGCACCACAAACAGGUUCUGUCCUGGCUGCCACCACGGAUACCUGCUCACAACCUGCAUCUGGGCAGGCGGUGGCUGAGCCCUACCAGGCAGCGCUGCCCACUGACACCAGUGGACCAGGGUCAUCUGUGUAGAGGGGCUGGUGCUGUGGUCCAGCAGGUAAAGCCUCAAUCUUCACAUGCUUGGGUUCCUGCCCCCA